CAGUCUAUGUGGUCCCAAAGAGUUGGACACGACUGAGCAGCUCAAACACAUACACACUGAUGUUUAGCAUAUUUUUAUAGUCAUGUAUAAAAAUAUGUAUUUUAUGCAUAAAAAUAUGCAUGUAUAUGCAGCCUUAACUGACAUUAACUGAAAAUUUUAAGAAAUACAUGCUAGAUUAUUCGUAAGAUGCAACCUACUCUGAAAAUGAAUCUGUACAUUUUCACAAAUGCAUUGUAUGCUUUAAAAAAAAAAAUGGAGUGAGACAGCAGUAGCUUCCCUUGGGUCUCCAUCUGGAGCUGUGUUUGGUGUUUUUAACAGGAUGGUUUUAACAGGAUGCUUGCCUACACCAUCUGUAUUCUGUCGUGUGCCUACAUAGGUUGGAUAGCAGUAAGGCCAGAGUUUAAGGACUGUACCUCUGAUGCUAUACACCUCAAGGGACAGUUCUGACAUUGUACAAUCUGCAGAAAAAGAAAAAAAGAUAGUUGUAUGAAGCGGACCUGUUCACAUUAAAGAUGAACUAUAUAGAAUGUACUGUGUACAUCACAUUGCAUUUUAUUAAAUAUCACUGUAAUAAAGCCCCCUCACCCUUUUCAACCUACCAAGGACCAUGCCUCUUUUUAUGAAUUGUUUGUAAACACAUUUUAUUUUUAAGUAGGGUAUGUACAUGUGUGUUAUCUGUGAUUCAAACAUACCUAAAAAGGAGUUCUGUUACAUUCAGGAUUCUCCUGAAUGUAACAUACAUUUCUCCCACUAGUAUUUGUUAUUGAGACCAGAUGGCAUUUCUUAUUUAGAAUCUAAAGAGCAGCUUAGCAGUUGGUGUAAGAGAAAAUGGCAGAAAGUCAAUGUCUCCAAAAUACACUGGCUUAAAUGAAAGAGAAAUGAGUAAGUGGCUGUGCUUCAGGUAGUCAGCCAAGCACCCAACUGGGGAACACUCCAUGGCUUCCGUCUCUGGGUCUAAGGUGAUUGCUCAGGUUGUCAUCCUUACACAGCAAUGAGAAGAGAGUGAAGAGCACGCAGCUACCCUGCUGAAAAGAAGGGAAAAGCUGGAAGUUGCCCGCAUCACAGUGCCCAGUGGGCAACAGUUCGAUGGCCACACCCCACCAUGGGGAAGCUGGAGGAUGUAGAUGGAAAUGCAGAGUCAGAUGUUUAUUACUUAAGGGAAGAAACAGUGAAAGAAAUCUGGAAAACAGCCGAGAAGCGCAGCACAGACGCAAUCCUGGGUGCUUGUGCUUGAUCACUCACUCUCUGCAGGCUGGAAAUCAUGCUGCUUUCCUGCAGGUGACUAACUUGGAGCUCCAGUGGGGCCAGACGUGGCAGACCUCUCACUGCUUCAGAGCAGGCACCCCGUGCUCCAGCUGAGGCAAGCUGUUUUGUAGACGGCCUCUGCUCAUUUACCCUGGCUUCCCUCCCACCUGGCUGUGUCUUGUGGAGCAACGAUCAUUUCCAUUCUUUCUCAGACUGCUCCAUUUUCUCUUGGCUGCUCUCCUCCUCCCCGAGGGAUUGUUUUCUCUCAAAUGUCAGCGUAAUGGUUAAACAAUAAAAACAAGACUUCGGGCCGGUGUGAGCCCAGCAGCA